rnacentral:rRNA from 1 species
CCUACGGGAGGCAGCAGUAAGGAAUAUUGGUCAAUGGACGCAAGUCUGAACCAGCCAUGCCGCGUGAAGGAUUAAGGCCCUCUGGGUUGUAAACUUCUUUUAUAGGGGACGAAAAAAGGGCAUUCUUGCUCACUUGACGGUACCCUAGGAAUAAGCACCGGCUAACUCCGUGCCAGCAGCCGCGGUAAUACGGAGGGUGCAAGCGUUAUCCGGAUUUACUGGGUUUAAAGGGUGCGUAGGUGGGUUGGUAAGUCAGUGGUGAAAUCUUCGAGCUUAACUCGGAAACUGCCAUUGAUACUAUCAAUCUUGAAUCAUCUAGAGGUAAGCGGAAUAUGUCAUGUAGCGGUGAAAUGCUUAGAUAUGACAUAGAACACCAAUUGCGAAGGCAGCUUACUAUGGAUGCAUUGACACUGAGGCACGAAAGCGUGGGGAUCAAACAGGAUUAGAUACCCUGGUAGUCCACGCCCUAAACGAUGGAUACUCGACAUUUGUGAUAUACAAUAAAGUGUCUGAGCGAAAGCAUUAAGUAUCCCACCUGGGAAGUACGACCGCAAGGUUGAAACUCAAAGGAAUUGACGG